rnacentral:misc_RNA from 1 species
UCAAACUUGGUCAUUUAGAGGAAGUAAAAGUCGUAACAAGGUUUCCGUAGGUGAACCUGCGGAAGGAUCAUUAAUGAGUUGCUCGAACGGGUUGUUGCUGGCCCCGUCAGGGGUAACGUGCACGCCUUGUUCGCAUCCAUCCUUUAACCACUGUGCACAACCUGUAGUUCUGGGCCCGAGGGCCUGGUCCUACGUUUUUUCAACAACACCGUAGUUUGAUUGAAUGUGCCGCUGGCGUAUGUAACGCUAAUAAAUAUAACUUUCAGCAACGGAUCUCUUGGCUCUCGCAUCGAUGAAGAACGCAGC